UAGCCCGCUCCCAAGGCUGUUCCGCCUUGCUCCCAGGCUGCAUGCCCCCGCCCCUCUGCGUAACCUGGCGUCACUCGUCACGUGACGUCCGGCAGUGCUGCGAGGGGUAGGCGGUGGGUGUCGCUCCCGCUGCCACGGUCUGCGCAGGGAUGAUUUCCGCCGAAUGAAGCUCACUGAGGCGUGAUGGCGAGGGCCUAGGGGAAGGCGCAGACAGGCCCGGACGCCGCCUGUAGCUGCCCUCGGCCUCCCGGCCUCUGCGCGCUUUCCUGCGCCGUUGCUAGGCAGCCGCCUCUGGGCGCGGGAGGCAGGGCGGGCUAAUGCGGAAAGGUACGGGUGCCGGGGAGGGGCUGUGAUUGCGGAGGGUCCGGGUGUCUGGCAGAGGGCUAUGGAGCAGUACUGCAUCCUGGGCCGCAUUGGGGAGGGCGCGCACGGCAUCGUCUUCAAGGCCAAGCACGUGGAGACUGGAGAGAUCGUUGCCCUCAAGAAGGUGGCCCUGCGGCGGCUGGAGGAUGGCAUCCCCAGCCAGGCCCUGCGGGAGAUCAAGGCCUUGCAGGAGAUCGAGGACAGUCAGUAUGUGGUACAGCUGAAGGCCGUGUUCCCGCAUGGCGCAGGCUUCGUGCUGGCCUUCGAGUUCAUGCUGUCAGAUCUGGCUGAGGUGGUGCGCCACGCCCAGAGGCCGCUGGCCCAGGCGCAGGUCAAGAGCUACCUGCAGAUGCUGCUCAAGGGGGUCGCCUUCUGCCAUGCCAACAACAUUGUGCAUCGAGACCUGAAACCAGCCAACCUGCUUAUCAGUGCCUCGGGCCAGCUCAAGAUAGCGGACUUUGGCCUUGCCCGGGUCUUUUCCCCAGAUGGCAGCCGUCUCUACACGCACCAGGUGGCCACCAGGUGGUACCGAGCCCCUGAGCUCCUGUAUGGUGCCCGCCAGUAUGAUCAGGGUGUCGACCUGUGGGCUGUGGGCUGCAUCCUGGGGGAGCUGUUGAACGGGUCCCCCCUUUUCCCAGGGGAGAAUGACAUUGAACAGCUUUGCUGUGUGCUUCGAAUCUUGGGCACCCCCAGUCCUCAAGUCUGGCCGGAGAUCAAGGACCUGCCUGACUACAACAAGAUCUCCUUCAAGGAGCAGGCUCCCGUGCCCCUGGAGGAGGUGCUGCCCGAUGCCUCUCCCCAGGCCUUGGACCUGCUGGGGCAUUUCCUCCUCUACCCUCCACGCCAGCGCAUUGCAGCCUCCCAGGGCCUGGCAGGCUAGGCACUAAUUGCAUGUUGACUGACCAGAUACUCUUCUAGGUCUGGAAUGAGGCUUCAAGGACCAAGGAACUGUGGAGGCCUUUCACUGUUGUGGCCCCUUCCAUUGUGGAGCACAGGCUCCAGACGCGCAGGCUCAGCGGCCAUGGCUCACGGGCCCAGCUGCUCUGCGGCAUGUGGGAUCUUCCCGGACCGGGGCAUGAACCCAUGUCCCCUGCAUUGGCAGGCAGACUCUUAACCACUGCACCACCAGGGAAGCCCUGAUUAACUUUUUAAUUAGUCUUUAAUCAGAGUUGAUGAAUGAUAGUUAAGGAAACAAUAGGCCAACCAAAGAGUUUAAAAGGAAAACUGGGAAUGUGAUGUCCUUAGGGAUUUUGGAAAGCUCCAACACAUUCCUAGGAAUCUAGAAGGCCAAGUGCUUAUUCAGGGCUGUGUGCUAACUCAGGGAAGAUAUAAAAGGGCUCCAGACUUUUACCUCUGGUUAACCUUGAGGUUCCAUGGAAGCAGGAAGUGAAGACUAAGACAGAGAAGUCAACUGCCUGGCUGAGUGUUGAACACAUGCCCCAACCUGCACAUAGAGCGUUUGGCAAUCACUAGGAAAUUUAGUGGUUCCAGAAAUUUAGGAAAUAUCUGUUCUCUCAUUACUGCACAUUAAUUUAACUGAACAGGGACAUAAGUGGCCCUACAUAACAAAGAAUACAGACUUUCAGAGUUCAGAAACUUUUCAGAGUUACUCCACUAAACAAACAAAAAAUAAUAACAGCUAUAAUAAAACGGGUGGGGUGGAAUCAGAUUUCCAGAGUUCUGCAUUAUGUUAUUUAAAAUGUUCAGUUUUCAACAGAAGUUAUAAGUCAUGCAAAGAUAUAAAGUGUGGCUAAUAUGCAGGAAACAAAGCAAACAAUAGAGACUGUCCCCAAGGAAGCCCAGGCAUCAGACUUACUAGACAAAGACUUUAAAUCAACUAUUUCAGUAUGUGCAAAGAACUAGAGGAAACCAUGUGAAAAGAACUAAAGGGAAGUAUGAGAACAGUGUCUCAUUAAUAGAGAAUAUUAAUAAAGAGAAAUUAUAAAAAAUAACUAAACAGAAAUUAUGGAGUAGGAAAGUACAAUAUCAAAUUAAAAAUUCAAGAGCAGAUUUGAGCAGGCGGAAGAAAGAAUCAGUAAACUGGAAUAUAGGUCAGUUGAGAUUAUCCAGUCUGAGGAACGCAAUGAAGCUAAAGAUGAAGAAAAAUGAAUAGUGCCUAAGAGACCUGUGGGACACCAUCAAGCAUGCAAGCAACAAAUAAUAGGGAGUUCCAGAUGAGAGGAGAAAGAAAGUAGAAAGUAUUUAAAGAUAUGGCUGAAAACUUCCCAAAUUUGAUGGAAAAUGUUAAUUUACACAUCCAGAAGCUCAGUGAGCUGCAAGUAGGAUAAAGUCAAAAGAGUUCCAUUUCGAGACACUUUAUAAUCCAACUUGAAAGCCAAAGACAGAAUCUUGAAAGCAUCAAGAGAGAAGCAACUCAUCAUGUACAGGACAACCCCAAUGAGAUUAAUGGUUGAUUUCUCAUAAAAAACCAUGGAGCCCAAAAAGGAGUGGGCUGAUGUAUUGAAGGUGUGGGAAGAAAAAGAUUGUCAUCAAGAAUUCUAUAUCUAGCAAAAUGAAGGAGAAAAUUAAGACAUUCCUAGAUUAACAAAAGCUCUGAGAAUUUGUUGCUAGUAGAUGUGCCCUACAAAAAAUACUAAAGAGAGUCUUUCAGAUUGAUAUGAAAGGACAUUAGACAGGAACUUGAAUCCACGUGAAGAAGUAGCACCAGUAAAGUAGCCACAUAGGCAACAUAAAUGAAUUUUUUGUAACUCCUUUUUUCCUACGUGAUUUAAAGGACAACUGCAUAAAACAAUAAUUGUGACUCUCCAUUGGGUACAUAAUGUAUGAAGAAGUAAUUUGUAUGACAAUAACAGCAUGAAUGAGAGGGGCAUAAAAUGGAGCUACACAGGAGCUAAGUUUUUUGAUACUAUUAAGUUGAUAUUAAUCAAAACUAGAUUGUCAUAAAUUAAGAUUUUAUCCGGUAAUCCCCAAGGCAACCACUAAGAAUUAAAAGAAUAUACAGUUGAAGAAAUGACAAGGGAAUAGGACAUAAGAAAAUACUUAAUACAAAAGAAGGCAGUACCAGAGGAAUAGAAGGAAAAAUGCAUAGAAAUAAGCAAAAUGACAUAUGUAAAUCCUAUCUUAUCAGUUGUAUUAAAUAUAUAUGGAUUAAACACUCCAUUGAAAAGGCAGAGAUUGGCAGAAGGGAUUAAAAAUAUCCAAGUAUAUGCUCUUUACAAUAGACACAUUUUAGAUUCAAAGAUACAGGUUGAAAAUAAUAGAAUGGAAACAUAUACCAUGCAAACAGCAACCAAGAGAGAGCUAGAAUGACCAUGCUAAUAACAGACAAAAUAGACUUUAAGACAAAAAGUGUUACUAGAGACAAAGAAGGAUAUUUUAUAAUAAUAAACAGAUCAAUCCAUCAAGAAGAUCUAAAAAAUUAUAACUGUAUAUGGACCUAAUAACAAAGCAACAAAAUGCAUGAAGGGCUGACAAAAUUGAAGGGAGAAACAGACAGUUCAACAAUAGUUGGAGGCUUCAAAAAAAUGCAAACUCUUGAGUUGCAGUUGCAUGACCAAGGCUGCAUGACCCUGGGUUAGUUGUUUAACCCCUCUCUCAUAUCUAAAAUGGAGAUGAGGACCUACUUCAUGGGGUUGUUAUAUAGAUUGACUGGAAACACAAAAAGCACCUAUUCCUGACAUGUGGUGAGCACUCGUUCAGUGUCAUAUCGUUAUCCCCAUUUAACGGUGGAGGAAACUGAGGCCUACAUAGGCAAAGUGAGUUGUCCAAGCUAGUAGACGGUGAAGCUGGGAAUCAAAGCUAGGCCUACUGAUGCCAAAACACCUUCUAAUGACUCCUGUUCUGCCUGGGACUGUGGGGUCUUUGUUUCAGGCAGCUGUGUCUGAGACGCUGGUCCUCCGGUAAAGCCUCCCAGAUGACCCUGGGCACACAGACAUGGAAACAGUACUAUCUCUGCCGAUCCGAGCUGGAGUUCCAAAUGGAAUCUGGGUGGCCAGAGAAGGAUUUUAUCUGCAA